rnacentral:ribozyme from 13 species
UAAGAAGGAAAAAAUAAAAACAAAAAUUGAAAAACAAAAACCAACUUACUUAGCCAACUCCUUUUCUGAUAUCUGGUUCUUUCACCUCAUUACAAUUCUCUUCCCUUUUUUCAUCUUU